UACGUAGGGUGCGAGCGUUGUCCGGAAUUAUUGGGCGUAAAGGGCUCGUAGGCGGUUUGUCGCGUCGGGAGUGAAAUCCACUGGCUUAACUGGUGGCUUGCUUUCGAUACGGGCAGACUGGAGGUAUGCAGGGGAGAACGGAAUUCCUGGUGUAGCGGUGAAAUGCGCAGAAUAUCAGGAGGAACACCGAUGGCGAAGGCAGAUCUCUGGGCCGUAACUGACGCUGAGGAGCGAAAGCAUGGGGAGCGAACAGGA
rnacentral:rRNA from 1 species